rnacentral:rRNA from 1 species
CGUAUGAUGCACUUCAGGGACCCGAUAUCAUACGUAGGGGUCAGUGGUUGUCCUGAGUUAUUAGGCGUAAAGAGCGUGGAGGGGGCCAAUGAGGGCCGUGUUGAAAACUCGGGGCUCGACCUCGAGAGGUCGGUGGAAACCGUUUGGCUAGAGUCCGGAAGAGUAGAGUGGAAUUCCCGGUGUAUCGGUGAAAUGCGCAGAUAUCGGGAAGAACACCCGUGGCGAAGGCGGCUCUCUGGGACGGUACUGACGCUGAGACGCGAAAGCGUGGGGAGCGAACAGGAUUAGAUACCCGGGUAGU